ACUCUCUUUCCAAACCCCUCCGACCCAGCUCCCAAGUCCCGACCCGGUCCAUCCAUUUUCUCUCCCAAAAUAACUCAUCGUCUCCCAAAGCAGCGACAGCUUCACGCCGUGCAUGUGUACAGUAAACGCAGGGUACAAUUUUCUUGUAUUCUUUCUCGUGUCCCUCUCAAUCGUACCAUCAUAGCAGCAAAAGCAGUGCUGCUUCGUCCUCGCCAGCAGGAGAUCACUCCACGUAGCAUGUCAAAGACGAGUGGUGCGAUCAAAGACGUCGAUUUCCCUUUUCCACUUUGGUUCUCGGAGUCGCAUGCACGUGGUGGAGGUCGUUUCUUUCUACUAGCCUCGUCCCUGUUCGCUAGCUCGUGAAAGGUAAACUCCAUUUCAGUUCAACCUCCCUAUUUAUUUAGUGUGUGUGCUGCUUACUUCUUGGUUAUUGUGAGUCUUUUCAAGUGUCGAAAAGAUGUUUUGUAUAUGGUUGUUUUCCUAUUAGUCAUCGUUGGUUUGUAAUGGAUUCGAUGUGAUAUUUGUCCUUAUAUGAUUCAAUUAGUCGAUCUAGUCGAGUUUCUUAUGUUUGCAUCUAGCUUCGGUAUUCUCUGGCUACUUUGGGGUUAUGUCCAUUAUUCCAUUUUUCACUUCUACUAAUUAAUGUCAUUGGGUCUAUGUUACCCCAUAUUUUUAGUGAUUAAGUAUUCGGACAUGUUGCAUUUGAGAUGGUUAUUAUCCCAUGUUGUUAUGCUUAAAGACUUAUGCUAUUUUUCUGAAAAUCAACUUCUAUAUGUGUGGUUAUUAAUGUGUCAUUGUAUCCUUGCUCUUUCUAUCAGAAGAUGUGUAGUUUCAGUCUGCAGUACAUCUUUAUUUAUUUAGAGUUGUGAUUUUUCUCUGUUUCUCGGGCUGAGGAUUUGUCGUAAUUUUUCUAUUUAGCUCUACACAUUGUUGCUAGUGUUGCUACAAUAUAUCUUCCUCUAAUAUUCUUUUUUCCUCAAUAUGUAUAUGCAUGUUUAUUUUGCUACUUAGUUUCUUUCGUUAAACCCAUUUGUAAAAAUUGCUAUUGACUUUCUAUGAAGUUUUAGGAAGUAUGGUGUUAUUUGUCCCUUCUGCAUUUGAUUACUAAUAACUCUGCAUGUUUGAUCCCUUAAUGCUAUAAUUUACCCAAUUAUAAAAUCCGCACAAGAAGUUCAUUUUUAUUUAGAGUAGUCCCCUGAUUUAGUAUUGCGCUAAUACGCCAACUAUGCUUCUCCUAUUCAUCUUCAAUGUAUUGUAGAUGGUUCACGAAUUUUGCUCUACACAACUUCCUGUAAAUUUAUUUUCUCAUGUACAAUUUUUUCUCUGAUAUUUUUUAGUUGUUUGCUGCCCGUUAGAAUAUCAGUGGCUCUUCUAUCUUUGCCAAAAUUUGAAGAUAUCUUUACGGUUGUUAGUUUGUUAUCUAUUUCAAUUACCUAUGUGGUGUUUUGCUUAACAACAUCCGUUUCUUUUACAAUUUUGCGUUUAUCCAUGUUAAAAUUGUUAGAUCGCAUUAAAUAGAUGUGAUUAGACCAAAGCAUGUGAUAUUUUAUUUGAUAAUUAUGCAGCAUGUUGGUUUUAAUAUUUUGAGUGUUUGUUGGUUAUUAAUUAUUUAUUCUCCGGAAUGUAAUAUAUAUAUAUAGUAUAUAUUUACAAAUAUGUGUGCAGAUAUUUAUCUUUUUUAUUAACUUUGUCAUUAUUAAUUUGGCUCCUCUGAUUUUUUUUUGGAGUCGUUUCUUUUCUGCCUAUUUUGAAUUUCUUAAGUGGAUUUCAUCUUUUAGUUCCGUCUUAUUUAAGUUACAUCUCAUUUAUUUUACUUCUUCGUAUGCUAAUUCCUUACCAUUAUUUUGUUUGCAUGUGAAAUCCGUCCGAGUUCGCUAUGAACUCUUGUUCAUUUUCCUCACAUUUCGAGAGAGUCUUAAAGAUUCAUAGCCUCUCACUGAGUAAGCCAGCAUCAAAUAAGAGAUUGAAGCCCCGAAACUGGAAGAAGUUGAAACAAAACCAAUUUGAAAAGAUUGGGCUAAAAGGCUCAAUUUUUUUUCAUAUUUUGUAUUUUGUUGUGUUAGGCCUAAGACCCUUGUCAAUUUUCUUAUUUAUUAUUUACUAUUUUAUCUAGUCUAGGACAGGUAUAUAAGGUGACAAAUUUGGUCCAAUAUCCCCAAAACGGAAUUGGUCAAAAACCCAAUGGAAAAUAGGUCUAAAUACCAGUCCUGGCGGAUAAAACCAGUAUAUGGAUCCAACCCUCUCUCUCCCUCUCUCUCUCUCUUUUACUUUUCCAUAUACUUUUUUGUAAUUAGUUAUCCUCAGCUUGGGGUUAGAAAUUGAAAAUCCCCGCAAGACGCUGCUAUUUUUUUCAACGUAUCAACUAAAUCGAUCGGCAUUAAGAA